UUGCACGCUGGCGGCAGGCCUAACACAUGCAAGUCGAACGGUAACAGGAAGCAGCUUGCUGCUUUGCUGACGAGUGGCGGACGGGUGAGUAAUGUCUGGGAAACUGCCUGAUGGAGGGGGAUAACUACUGGAAACGGUAGCUAAUACCGCAUAACGUCGCAAGACCAAAGAGGGGGACCUUCGGGCCUCUUGCCAUCGGAUGUGCCCAGAUGGGAUUAGCUAGUAGGUGGGGUAACGGCUCACCUAGGCGACGAUCCCUAGCUGGUCUGAGAGGAUGACCAGCCACACUGGAACUGAGACACGGUCCAGACUCCUACGGGAGGCAGCAGUGGGGAAUAUUGCACAAUGGGCGCAAGCCUGAUGCAGCCAUGCCGCGUGUAUGAAGAAGGCCUUCGGGUUGUAAAGUACUUUCAGCGGGGAGGAAGGGAGUAAAGUUAAUACCUUUGCUCAUUGACGUUACCAGCAGAAGAAGCACCGGCUAACUCCGUG
rnacentral:rRNA from 1 species